rnacentral:rRNA from 1 species
UGGGAGGUAAAUUUCUCCUAAGGCUAAAUACCGGCGAGAGACCGAUAGCGAACAAGUACCGUGAGGGAAAGAUGAAAAGAAUUUUGAAAAGAAAGUUAAACAGUACGUGAAAUUGUUGAAAGGGAAACGAUUGAAGCCAGUCGUACCGACGGGAAAUCAACUUCUCGAGUGUCUAUCAUGGGUGACGUUGAGCUUAACGGCCUUCGAUGCUUAUGUUGUUGGUGCUUUUGCGGUGUACUUUUCCGUAUGGUAGGUCAGCAUCGAUUUUAAUCGUCAUAAAAUGAUCGGGGGAAUGUAGCUUCGGUCUCGUAUCGGAGUGUUAUAGACCUUGGUAGAUGUGACGAUUGGGAUCGAGGAUUGCAACGAAUACCCUCUGGGCUAUCCGUCUGUCCUCUGAAAGUCGCUCGGGUGUCGAAAGCUUGCUUAUGGUUAUCUAAGUUAACGGUCAAUAGGUUAGAACGUGAUUACAUUCGUUAAGGAUGUUGGCGUAACGGCUUUAAACGACCCGUCUUGAAACACGGACCAAGGAGUCUAACAUAUAUGCGAGUGUUCGGGUGUGUAAACCCCUACGCGUAAUGAAAGUAAUUUAGGUGAGAUCGCUUUUUUGUGUGCACUAUCGACC